rnacentral:tRNA from 1 species
GCAUUGGUGGUUCAGUGGUAGAAUUCUCACCUGCCAUGCCAGAGACCCGUGUCUGAUUCCCAGCCAAUGCA